rnacentral:lncRNA from 1 species
GUUGAUCGGAUCAAAUUUUAAGGAUUGGCUCUGAAACUUAAAAAUUAUUUUGAGUUUCAAGAAACUGGCUUAUAUCUUUGAUCAGGAUCUUUUCUCUCUCCCAAUCCGUCUGACUGUUGAUCAGAGAGUAUCUUAUGAGAAGUGGUUGGAUGAUGAUAACAAAGUUAGGUGCUACAUGUUGGUGUCAAUAUCUAACGAAUUACAAUUUCAACACGAAGAUAUGACUACUACCAGACAGAUGCUGACUCACC